GUUCUGCUAUGAUGCCACAUCCAACACCUUCAAGCCAAACACAACCUAGCCACUUCAUUUAUUGCCAAUGAACUGACUUGUUUGAGCUGAGAAGGGUCAACAGAUAAAAGAAAUCUUCAUGUUUGUGGGGGAAAGACAGGGCAAAUGCCAAGGAAAUAUGGCUGGGAGACAGCUGGAAAGUCAAGGACAGUGAGUGACUGGCAGCAGAGCAGUAAAAGGCCACCCCUGGGCCCCUUGGGUGGGGCACGGCUGCACCUGAGCUCUUCCGGCUCCUGUUUGUCCAGCGAGUGCAGCUGCUGCCCGACACAUUCCCGGCUGCUCCGGAGCUCUGUUUCCUGACCAAUACCCAUUUGCAGUAUUUCCCAAGCAAGCGAGGCUCAUCACCAUCGCUCCCACUCCCUCUUCCCCUUCCAGUUAUCCCCGCGGGCUGGGGAGCAGCCGAGUUCAAACAAUCCGUGCUCGGGCAUCGGGGCCGGGCAGGACGUGAAGCAUUCACGAGUUUAAUAGCACCAAACAGAUAAAAGGUUUCAAAGCGCAUAAUUAAAAAAUAUCCCUGUGGCACCGGUCUGUGACACU